GGUCAGCGUGUCCAUGAAUAUCCCCGGACCGCAAGGGGGAUCUCUUUGGGAAUCAGACGGGAUGAAGGCGAAAGAAGCAGACGCGUGUGCAGAGAAUGUGUGUGGUGGGGGGGCAGAGGCGGGAGAAGCUCUAGGGUUGCAGAUUUAGAUCUCAAGGCUGAAAAGGUUACGCUUGCACCAGAGCAUCCUCUAACGCCGCCUGCCCUGCCCUGCGCGCGCACCGCACUCACACGCACACCCGCCCUCGCACAGGCACACUGCCUCCAAGCCGCUCUACUCGCCAGACUGCAGGGCAAGCGGCCCCUCCGAAGCGCGCUCGCCGGAGAGCUGCACAAAGCCUCGGAAAGUUUCCUACUUGGGCGACGAAGGCGGAUGAGCCUCGCCUCCUGGCUGGGGCGGACCCAAAAGUACCCGAAGUCUCGCCGGCGAGUUGCGCCCUCGGCUGUCCCAGCAGUCACCCUCAAACGCACAUCCCUUCCCUGGCCGAGGGGAACCGAGGCCGCCUAAGAACCGGCCCCGCCGGGCCCUCUGCUGGGGGCCCGGGGAGCCCUGGGAAUCCGCUGCCGGCGCCGCGCCCGGGCGCCCGGCCCCUGCCCAGCCCGCGGGCCGCGCCCGCCUACCCGCUCGCUGGAGCUUUGCGCCCUCAGCCUCGGGGACCUGCCCACCCUACAGCUUCGCUGGAGAAGGAAAAUGAGAGCUACGUUCCCAGAGGAACAGAGUUCGCGUCCUCGCAGGGCACCGAGGGGGACUUCAUCCGGCCCAGGGGCUCUGCAGAUACUCCCCGGGGGGUUGGGGGGGCUCGGGCCAACAGUGACUUUGGAGUAGACCUGAUUUUGUGGCACCUCCAACUCCGGAGUCCACGUCCCCUUGUCACUCAAGAAGUUCAGCUGAGCUUUGCGUGGUGACUGUCCCUCAUCCUGAUCCCCACCCAAUAGCCAAGCCAAGGCCAGAGGCCUCCACGACUGGGAUCUGUGCGCUCUCCGUGGGCAGCCCCCGGACCCAGGGCGCGUCCACAGCGCCCACCCGCGGCCCCAAAGCACCUUGAGAGCAGAUCUCAGGGCAUAACCAGGCACAGACCUGAGACGCCCUGCUGCUGCCAGAACCUUGGCCCGAAACCUAGAACCUGGGACCAGAUUCAACGGUUCUCCUCAUGCAUACAUGCGUCCAUCCGUCCAUCGAUGCGGACAUGCAUACAAUACAAAUCCUCAGACGCAGGCACCGAGAGCGGCACCUCGCCCCCUUUCCCGCUCGCCCUCCUUCUGCGCAGCCCUGGCCCCCUUCCUGAAGGGAGAACAGCUCAAUUGCGAAAAGGAGCCAAGGAAGGAAAUCCCAGGCUCGGAGGCGCCCGCCCGCCGAUGCUCUUCUGGUCCCCGUCCCUGUCGCCCAGUCCCCACCCCCACCGUCCCCAGCUCAGGGAGGGCGGGGACGCGGCGGUGCGAGGGGUCCUGCCCUGCUCCACCAGAACAAAGCCCACCGCGGGAGCCCGCGGCCGCGCACCGAGCCGGUGACAAAGGCGGGCGGGCGGCGCCGAGCUCCGAGUCUGCGCUUCCACAGCAGGCGGGGAAGGAGACCUGGAAAACAGGGUGCGAUUUGCACCCGGCUUUUCCUGGGCUGCCGUAUCUCGCUCCUGGGUACCCAAUGACCUGUUAGGGUGACUCAGCGUUUACCUCUUCGCUGUCCCGCACCCCCAUCUCCCUCUCUCUUGUCCUCUCCUGUCCCCGGUCUCCUCCAUCUCGCCCUGCUUUUUCCUCAACCUCACUCCUUUUACCUUACUCCCUUUUCUCUUUGCCUUUUUAAAAAUCUCUUUUCGUUUUUAUUUUCCGUAGAAAAGCAAUGCUAAUUCGUCUUCUGAAGGCCGCUCUGGGUGUUCAAAUAACAGUCUGAAAGCCCUUAUAGGGGAGUGCUUGGGGAGUAAAGGGACCCUCUUCAUUUUAUUAUGCAAACUGUGCUCCAAAUAAAAUGCAGUCUAAGGAAGCAGAGCUUGGCCCUGGGACCCCAGCAAGUCGCCGCCUAUUCGGGAGAAGUCGCUUCUGAUGGCCACAAAUCACUGGGGGGGUGGGCAGGGGACCCGCCGCUGUGGAAUGGAGACCUCAAGCGCUGGUGUCCCCCAAAGCAAACCUUUCUAGGGAAACUUCCAACCUGACUUUCUAAUCCUGGAAAGGAAUCAAUCUCUUGCUAGACACCCCCCCCCCCCCCCCCCCCCCCCCCCCCCACCAAANNNNNNNNNNNNNNNNNNNNCCCCCCCCCCCCCCCCCGCUCCCGUCCCGCAAUCAAAUUGUAGUGUUUUCUAACUUAGGUGACUUUAAUAGUCAGUGUUUUUCCAAGUGAAGUUUUACUGGUUUGUUUUUGCGAUGUGAAAUAAAAAUAAAGGGAACACAAGCCACACCCUUUGGACAAUG
ensembl:lncRNA